GGGAGAUACCCCUAACUAAAGAGAAAUACGUCUAACUAUAGGGAGAUACACUUAACUAAAGAGAGAUAUGCCUAACAUUAGUUAGGGGUAUCUCUCUUUAGUUAGGAGUAUCUCCAUUUAGUUAGGGGUAUCUCUCUUUACUUAGGCAUAUCUCCCUUUACUUAGUCAUAUCUCCCUUUAGUUAGGUGUAUCUCCCUUUAGAUAGGUGCCUAACUAAAGGGAGAUAUACCUAACACUUCAGGGGAACAUCUGUGUUCUUCUUGAUCUUAAAUGUCAUAGUACAAUGUUGGUUGAUAAUUUGAUCUUAUCAACCAACAAAUAACAUUCCAGUUUUAAUUACAUUUGUCCAGGUGUACCACUUUUGAUAUUACAAUACAAUACAAUAAAUACAGCACAUUAAAUCACAGGUAUUGGUUGACAUGAAUAACACAUUGUUAUGUUUACAGGUACCAAAUAUCUCUGGUUUUUGGUUUGUUUGGUGUUUGCAGCUGUGGCGGUGGUAAUUUACUUCAAGUGUUUUAAAGCAAAGCAUCAUCCAGUUGAGACCAUGAAUCAUGGAACAGAGAAGUGAGUAUGGUGGCUAUGGCCAAGAUCAUCUUGAGUGUUACAGAAGUACUUGCUUGGAAAGUUUUCAUACUAUUAUCAGGGGCGUUUCUAGAGUUUGAUCACUACUGGGGCACAGGCCCCCAAGAGUUGACAAAGAUACUUCAAAAUUACCCCCCAGUUAGAAAUUUUUGCAAAAACAGCACCAAAAUAUCAUUUCAUUCAUUCAAUUUGACAUUUUACUUUACUGUAAAGGGCUUUGCUGAAUGCAAUACUUCAAAAACAAUGGUCGAAUUAAAAACCUCACCCUGGGGCCCAGUUGGAAUGAAUGUUGUAUUUUAUUCUCAGCGGACAAAGGUAGCACCAAUCAGACAAGGUUUACAGGAGAAUAUCCUGUGCAUCCUCUACAAUCAUACACCUCGCCUCUCUCGCUGUGCACGAGAGUACGUUAGUGUUUCAGUUUCAUCCCCUUUACCGGUAACAAAUUGCCAUAUAUUCAUUUUUCCCUCACACUAACUGACUGUCUGAGCUAGGAUUUGGCAGAAUUGAGACCUGUCAGCCAACAAGACACGAGUAUUUCCACAUGUUUCCUGUAAAUCCUGUCUGACUGGUCUCGCCUCCGUUCACUGCAGACAAAAAUACAACACUCUGUUCAAUAAGAUAAAAAAUUACAAAACUCCGUCUUCUUUUACUGAUGUUCAGUUACGUAGUAACAAGUCAAUGAUUUAUCAGGAAACAUUUUACUGCAGCUCAUUCCCCAGUAAAACAUGUCUAGCGACUGUUUUACAGUAUAUGUUAGGCCUCGUGACUAGAUAAAUUCACUAUUUUUGACGUUAUAUUGUGAAACAGUUUCCCUGGGGUCCUGAUUGUUCCCUAUUAUUUCUCCCAUGUUGCUACUGAAAUCUCAGUGCUUCAUUCCAAAGGACAGAGAAUAACAAAGAUGGGGUCAUGCUUUUGGGAGUCAAAUCAGGAGGGGAGGAGAAUGGUAUGUAUUACCUACAUUUUACUAAUUAUAUAAUCAUUCUUGCUUUCAGCUAUGGCAUGCCAUUCUACCAUUUAUCUUCACCAAAUAGUUUGAAUAUACAGUAAACAACUGAUCAAACUGUGCCAUGGCCUCUCUAAGAGAAUAUUAUUGUUGUGUACCUUUUGUUCUUUUAUUGUCAGUUGCUGCUGUUAUUUAAAAGUCUCUGAUGUCCUACUCCAACUAACUCAACAUUCUUCAGGGACUUCUCUGCUUUUUUUACGCUGUCCAAAGACAUUGAGACUAAAAAAAAAACAUAAAAAGUAAAUAAAAGGAAUUUAAUUGACCAGAUUUUAAACACAUUCUUUAUACGCUUCUGCAGUGAAAUAAACUUCUGCAGCUCUGCAUAGGUAACACUUCCUCACAGAGUGACCCAUUUAAGACUCAAAAAUGUAUUGGGACGCAAAACUAGACUCUAGAACUUGGGACUGGACUUGCCUCAAAGCAGACAACUCAUGAUUUAACUUGAACUUAGAAACAAGUCCCAGUUAAAAAGAAUAUUGCUUGGUAAGUUUAUGGUGAAAGGGAUGAAUGUGAUUUAAAUUGCUCCUUUCUUCUGGCCACAUCCCACCCUGUAUCGCCAUUUAUCUGGUUCAACAUGUCCAGUUGCUCAGAGGAAGCCUGAGCUUUUAAUAACUCAUUGUCGCUGGUAGGCGGGUGAGUGAGCGAAGGUGUUUCCUGCUGUUUAUCUCUCCACCUCUCUCCCCUUCACACCACCCUCCAAAAAAAAAAAAACAGUGCAAGAUGAUAGAUAACUUUUACACUCAGGUACUACCUUUUCUGGUGAGGCAUUAUUGUGUAGCACUGUGCAAAUGACACUGAAUCCUCAAGAGCAUUGUUUUGUUUUGUUUUUGCACUCUUCUGGUGAACUCUUCUGUGGGGGAUUUUACAGGAUUUGUAUCGUUUAUGUUUACAAGUAGCACUUCCUGCAUUUAGAACUGAUAAGUCAUAUUUAUUGUGUUUGAUUGUACUUUUGAUGUACAAAGCCCGUUUCUCUUUAUUCAGUGAUUGUGACUCUGGAGAGAGAAAUACAGUCAACAUUUAAGAACCUAUCCCUUAGGAUUUCACCAAGUACUAUGAGUUAAACAGCUAUAUAAAAUAUAUA
ensembl:lncRNA